rnacentral:Y_RNA from 1 species
UCGGCGAAUGCCGGUGGAACUACAGAAUGUUAAUCUCCGUGUCGCGGGUUCGAAUCCCGCUCGUCCCAGCCCCUUGGGGGAGGGAUGGUAGCUCAGUCAGGUAGAGCAGGCGUUUCACCAAUUCUUGUCGUCGAGGC